GAAUUGGUCCAAAGUUAUUUGUGACGGUAGAGUGCGCUGUCACAUGACACACGUUGAAAGAGAGAAAUAAUAAUAGUCACAGAGCUAUUUUCUUCCUGGAAAAAGAAAGAAAAUCUCGAGUUAAGUCUGACAAAAUGAUAACCAAUUUGUUAACAAGCGUAUUUGUAGCAUAUGCAGUUUAUUUAAUUACUUUGACUGAUGUAUCUAAUGGUGGUGUUUCAGCUGAUACAUGUUCAAACCAAACUAAUGACAAAUGUUGUUCAUCUGUUUUGGAAUGUAUGUUAACCAAUUGUACAACAGAUAGUGGAAAUACAAGUGUCUGUGUAAACUUGACAACAACGGAAACAACGUGCAAUACCAAUGGUACAUUGAAUAUAAAUCAGACCAUCUGCAAAUUUGUCGCAGAUCCCUGCAAUGUUAACAGCACAGAUUCAGAAGCUUGUUGUGGAAACGAAGCUUGUUCAUUUUAUAAUUGUACAGCAGAAAAUGAAACAGUGUGUCAGCUAAAAAAUUCAACCAAACCAGCUCCUUGUAAUGUAACUCAUUGUGUAAACGGUUCUACUACUCCAUCUUUAAUGCCAACAAGUAUAGUUACAUCAACAUCAUCAUCAUCAUCAUCAUCGACACAAGCAAUAUCUACGUCAGUACCAGAAACCGGAAAACCACUUGGUCAACAUUUUGAUGCAGCAUCUUUCAUUGGUGGCAUUGUUUUAUGUGCAGGUCUCGUUGCCAUCACAUUUUUUGGAUGCAAAUUUUACAAAGCCCGUACAGAAAGAAACUACCAUACAUUAUAA